rnacentral:lncRNA from 1 species
CCUUGAAAAACUUCUGCUGCCACAGAACAUCUGGAUUCUUACAGAGGAAGCUUCUCAAAGGGCAUGUAGUUAAUGUGGAAGAAACCUGGAGUCCCAUCUCCACGGCGACAGAAGCCCUAUUCAAGGAUCAGAAGUACUCUGAAAUACACAUAAAAACGAGGGACACCACCCUUUCUUGCUUAUUGGUACAUUGACAUUUUCUUCGUUCCGCUGUAGGGCUCAGAGAUGCACUGGUACCCCAUGAGGCAUCUGGAAAAAGGCAACUAACUUGUUUAUCUGAAUUCCUCAAAAGGAGAGCAGCGUGAUGAAAAAUGAAUGCCACCAAUUAUUACACAACAACCGGCCAUGUAAGGAGCUACCCUCAGUCUACCCUCAGGGAGAUUCCCAUAUCAACUAUGGCAUCUUGGGCAGUCACAUCCUGUAUGCUCAUAGGAUCUGCAUCACAGAGUAGGAACAUCAAAACCUGUACUUGUCCAAUUUUGAGACACAGAGGCUGAAACUGUGACAGUGGUCACCAUGCAGCAGGUGACCAGCUCAGUUCUCAGGUCAUCAAGAAAAUGAAGACAUUGCAGCCAGGUUCCUAACUUUGGCCUAAGUAUGAGUCACUAAAGGCACCUUGGUCAAGUUUCUAGUAUUGCCUUAGUGAUUAAAGUCAAGCCAUUUUAUGGCAAAUAAAGUCAGUAUCUGA